rnacentral:lncRNA from 10 species
AGUACCGGGCACUGUGUGGCGUGCUUAUGCGCUCUGGCUCAUUGCACCCUCUCAGCAAGCCCGACAGUAGAGGCUGCUUUAAAUUCCUACUUUAUAGGUAAGGAGAAGGGGGGCGCAGAGAGAUAAGAACUGUCCCCUUGCUGCAGUCAGGCUUCCAGCCUCAGCCCCUUGCCUUGAAAAGGACUGAACCAAUCCCAUCCUCUUUUUUCUUUUUUUAAAGGAAUGUAAGUUGCCAUGAAUAAGCAUCUUCUUAUUUAUCCCAGAUUUUCUUGGGGACUUAAAACUAAUAUUUCGCAUUAUAGGUGGUGACAAGGAGCCCACACAGACCUCAACUUCCACCAGCCUGAAAAUGAUGCUCCCAAUUC